CGGGAGGAGCAGAACAUGCUGGGCCCCCUGCCUCAGACCUGCAGGAGCUGCUGGUUUCCUUUUAAGUAAACUGGAACCUGGGGGUAAUGAGUGAGUCAGUGUUCCCUCAGAGCCCUUUCUGCUCUGGAGGUUGAGGACCCUCGCAUCUUCACCAAGUUGCAGUUACAGAAGGCAACUCAACACAUGGCAGUCUCUGCUCCGAGUGCAAUACUGUGGUGAGUGGCUUAGGAGUGCCACGGGGUGGACAGGAAGAGGCUGCUGGGAGGAGCGGAGAGUCACAGCCGAGACCCAGCCUCCUCCUUCGGCCAGGAAAAGGCCAGUUAGGGGCUGGUGGGACAGUGAUGGGGCCAUGUAAAAAUGGGGCUGAUUGUUCCCCAUUCUCCCAUGUGACACAUGACGCUGAAAGUACCUGGUGGUCACUGGGUGAGACACUGUUGGGCUUGGAACGACAACAAAACAGAGCAUCAGAGCAUAUAUCUUUGCAGUUGAUCCUCCAAAGGUUUUGUUUUGUUUUCCAGGUUCCUGAUAACUCUGUCUUUGUGCAACAUGAGUGUGUUUCCAGUUUUGUUUUUUUUGGGGACUGGUCCAAAGACACAUAUGUGGAAAGAUAGAAAAAUAUUUUGUAUUAUCCUUUGGAUUAUUUUAUUAUAUAUUAUUAAUAUAAGAAUAAUGAAAAGUAUAGCUCGCAUUUAUUUAAGGCCUACUGAGAACAUCUCUGUGCAAAGUCCUUUACUUCAAAAUUUUAAUUUUCAAUUUACUUUUGAAGGACAUCAUUUAAUUACCACACUCACAGUCUGAGCUGAGUAGCACUAUUAUCAUCUCCGGUUUAUGGUUGGGAAUCCUGGGGUCCAAAGAGGUUAAGUAACAUGCCCCAGGUCACAUAGUAGGUGGCAAAAUCAGAAUCUGAACCCAAGACUGUCAGGUCCUGAAGGCAAUAUGCCUAACCACUGCACUGUACUACCCAGAGUGGACCUCAGGAAUAUGGCAGAGUCGGACCUCAAUUUACAGAUGCAGUGACAGGCCCAGAAAGGGGAUGGACCUUUUCACCUACAAAACAUCAGUUGAUCCCCCACAAACAGGUCUGAGAGGCAGGUUUUAGAGUCACACAAAGUUUGUCGAUGAGGACACCGCAAUCUAGAACAGGCUACCUGCCUGAGGACACAUGGCUGGUAAGUGGAAGAGUUGGGACCAAGUCAACCUUUUCCAGAUCCACAGCCUAUGCUCCUUCUACCACUCUCGCUGCAGGGAUCGGCAGGGCAUCGUGGUUUCCGUCAACUCUAUUCACCCCUGAAUCCCAUGCACCUGGCAUGAUACCUGGCACAUGGGUUCACAAUAAAUGUUUGCUGAAUAAAAGCCCCCACAGACCUGACAUGCACAGACACAGUAACAACACAUACAGCCCCACCCUGGACCAAAUGCAGCCUUUAGAGAUUGAAGCUUGAGAAUUACCUCAGCAAGCAGAGGAGCAGAGGUCCUUUUGUGAAUAUGUCCCAUUCACCUUCUACAUCCAGACUCUCAAUCAGUGACAGCACAAAACAUAUAUCCUGGCAAGCAUCAAAGGUGACUUCAGCCAUAAGCUAGUGAGGGCUCCGGGUGGUGAUUCAGAUCUGGGUUAAACCAACGUAUUGACACAAGCAGAUCCAGUGCUGCGCCCAGCCUCAGUUUCCUCAUUUCAUAGUGGAAAUGUAGAUGCCCUUUCUGUCACUACACACCUCCCCAGGCCUGGGUCCCCCUCCCCCCCAGGGUUCAUUGCCUGGGGUCAGGGAGAGGGGACGCCUCUAUGAUCCACUGUCUACAGUGACCCAGUGGGGCAUGCAGGGCCCCCACUUCCCCUUUCUGCUCUGGGCUACUGCCUGAUUGCCCAUGAAAAGAAGGCUUACUUCUGGCUGGAAACCCCUGAGGCAGCGGAUUUCGGUGUGAGUAAGCAAUUCCAGGAGCAUUAAGGGGAAUGCAGGUUUAUCUAGAGCACACAAAGCUGCCUGGGUUAGAUUCAAAAGGAGGAGGAAGCCUGGGCUUUCUCAGGGGCCAGGCAUGCAGCCCCAAAAUUAAAUCCCUGCAAAAGAAUGUCUUCAUCUUUAUGGAUGCAGGAAGAAUCCAGUGUUUCAUAAAAGGAACCGGGGACAGCAAAGCCACCUUCAGGAAAUUCCCUCCAUCCUGGAUGGAGAUCUAAACAGCUCAGAUCUGAGGCCCCUGCUUCUUCCCAUCCCUCACCCCAGGCAACCUCUAGGUGAACUUCCUUGAUCUGAAUUUGAGUGAAGGAGCCCAUCUAAUUUGCAUAAUCAUUGAUAUUCAUGAGAAUGUAGUAGGAAGCAACAUCUGUUACUUUACCAUUCACAGACUGCUUGCACAUAGUUUGCUUUAUUCGAUCUUUAACCACUUUACAGAUGAGGAAACGAAAGCUCACAGAGGUCUCUGUCCCUGGCCCAGAUCACACAGUUGGUGAGAGCUACAGCCAGGCCUCUAGUUGAUAUGCCCAGGCUAGGAGGCCUUCCCUGCCCCUGGUGACCAUGCCCACCUCCGGACUGUGCGCUACAUCUGCUGCUACUCUCACUUCUCUCCAGUAUAAGUCAGGUGUUUAUUUGUCUCACAAACAGGAGAAAGUGAGCUUCUGGAGGGCAGGGGCUCCAACCUACCUCCAUACACUGAGCUUUUAGUACAAUGCUGGCCACCGAGUAGAUUGACAGUUAAUGUCACUGAAUGGAUCCUGUGCUAUUUCUGUUACACCCAAGGUGGGGGUCAUCUGCCUGCUUACAAGACGUGCCAAUAGUCAAGAGGCAAGGUGGUAGGUGAGAAAGGGAUUUAUUACAGCUUGCUAGCAAGGGGGAAGAUGGCUCACUAAUGUCUAAAUGUCCUUGUCCUUGUCUUGUCCUUGUCUUACAGAACAGGGACGACAGGCCAGUUAUAUAGGGGGCUGGUCUCUGGGAGCAGGGGGCGGGCAGACAUCUGGUCUUAGUCCCUGAUAAUCUUGUUUUCCUGGCUAUGUAUCAGAGACCGAAGCAAUGCCCUAUACCCUGAUCUUUCAGUUGUCAUUGAUGGUGGCUAUCAGCAUAGACUCUUCUGUCCAGGUGUCAUCACAUUCCUAAGAAACUCAAAAGAACAAAGUUAUCAGUUUGUAGCAGCUGGGAGGGGCCACAAAAUCUGCAGAGCAUGCAUAUCUCCUGGAGGGUGCGUAUCUAGCUGGGUUAGUUAAUCAGAGGUCAUUCAAAGUUACAAUAUGGUUUCUUUUCUACAAUAUGGCUUCCCUUAUGUCAACCUUGUGUUGAGCCAGUAUCAUUUCAACUGCCCCAGAAGGCCAGGGACUCUGAUGACCAGAAAAAUAAUGACAAUGGCAACAGCCAACAUUUGCUUCUUGCUUAUCAGUGCUUUGGCACCAGAGGCACGUUUGAUUCUUACAAAGACCCGAAGGCCCUGACCAUUAUUUCCAUGAAGUGGCCCAGGAGACUGAAGCUGAAAUAAACCACAGGACUUCUCAAGGCUCUUUGGUGAAAAAGAUGGAGCAAAACCUCCAACCCAACUCUUCCAAUUCCAAAUUCUACAUGCUUAUAUAACAUUCUUAAUUUUAUUCUAAUCAAUAAAUGAAUACUCAUAUA